rnacentral:lncRNA from 1 species
AUGUCGCCGGGGAGCUCGUCGCCGCGCCGCUUCGAUCCGUGCCGCUGCCACCGUCCUCGUCGGAGAAGCUCGCCGGCUCGAUGGGGAAAGCGCGGAGAAGGAGAGGAGCUCGAGGUCGAUGCCGCUGGGCCUAGGCCGGAUCUGGCCGCUCAGCCCAGCGUCGUCGCCGUCGCCGCUCGGGCCGCCGCUCCACCCGGCUUUGAGAGGAAGACAAGGUCGCGUGGCUCCGGUCGACGACGACCGUGCCGCCGCUCGUCGUCCGCGAGGAAGACGAGGUCGCGCGGCGACCUCCGCGAGGAAGACCCCACCGAGAGCCCGUUGCUGCGGAGCGGGGUAGGGGGAGGGAGGCGCCGGCGUCUGUGGCCUCCGGCCCCAACGAUGAGAGGCGCCGCCACGCCGGCGUCCAUGCCUUCUUGCCCGCCGUCCUCGCCCCGGGGCUUCCCGUCCGCCGCGUCCCCGGCAUCGUUCGGCGCCACUGCCACCCUCGCCGGCUUCUUCCGCUUCGGGAUUAGGGGAGUCGGCGCCGGCGGAGGGAGGAGGGGACAGCCGGCGCCACUCGGCCCCGAGGACGCCGCCGCCACAGGACCCGCUACCUCGCCAUGCGCGCAGCCGUCCCACCGUCGAGGUCACUGCCGUCCGGCCCGACAAGGAGAGGAGGGGGCGGGCGGUUCGCCGUCGUGCGCCGCCGUGGAGCCGAGUGAGGGAGGGCCUCGUCGUCGUCCACGCUCUCCGCUCCGCGUCGCCGACCUCGGUGUCGCCGGGGAGCUCGUUGCCACGCCGCUUCGGUCCGCGCCGCCGCCACUGUCCUCGUCGGAGAAGCUCACCGGCUCGAUGGGGAAAGCGCGGAGAAGGAGAGGAGCUUGAGGUUGAGGCCGCGUCCGAGCUCGCCGGCGUCUGUGCCUUCUUGCCCGCCGUCCUCGCCCUUGCCGCUUGCCGUCCUGGUCAGUGGCAUGCGAGAAGAAUGGAUAGAGAUAGAGAGGGAGAGAUGAAUGUGAAAAGAGAGAUGGUGGGACCUACUAACAUGGGUGGGACCCACAAACAUGUAUUGUUUAAGACACAUGCACUGUGAAGUGUGGUUCUUUACGGCAUGGAGCUCCUGGC